CGAACGCUGGCGGCGUGCUUAACACAUGCAAGUCGAACGAAGAGCGAUGGAAGCUUGCUUCUAUCAAUCUUAGUGGCGAACGGGUGAGUAACGCGUAAUCAACCUGCCCUUCAGAGGGGGACAACAGUUGGAAACGACUGCUAAUACCGCAUACGAUCUAAUCUCGGCAUCGAGGAUAGAUGAAAGGUGGCCUCUACAUGUAAGCUAUCACUGAAGGAGGGGAUUGCGUCUGAUUAGCUAGUUGGAGGGGUAACGGCCCACCAAGGCGAUGAUCAGUAGCCGGUCUGAGAGGAUGAACGGCCACAUUGGGACUGAGACACGGCCCAGACUCCUACGGGAGGCAGCAGUGGGGAAUCUUCCGCAAUGGACGAAAGUCUGACGGAGCAACGCCGCGUGAGUGAUGACGGCCUUCGGGUUGUAAAGCUCUGUUAAUCGGGACGAAAGGCCUUCUUGCGAACAGUGAGAA
rnacentral:rRNA from 1 species